UGCGAUGGUUGAGAGAAAGGCAGGUGGUA
rnacentral:piRNA from 1 species